rnacentral:misc_RNA from 1 species
GGGCAACACUAGUGGGCCAUUUUUGGUAAG